rnacentral:rRNA from 3 species
AAUCCAUAGGUUAAUGAGGCGAACCGGGGGAACUGAAACAUCUAAGUACCCCGAGGAAAAGAAAUCAACCGAGAUUCCCCCAGUAGCGGCGAGCGAACGGGGAGGAGCCCAGAGCCUGAAUCAGCAUGUGUGUUAGUGGAAGCGUCUGGAAAGGCGCGCGAUACAGGGUGACAGCCCCGUACACAAAAGCGCAUGUGCUGUGAGCUCGAUGAGUAGGGCGGGACACGUGGUAUCCUGUCUGAAUAUGGGGGGACCAUCCUCCAAGGCUAAAUACUCCUGACUGACCGAUAGUGAACCAGUACCGUGAGGGAAAGGCGAAAAGAACCCCGGCGAGGGGAGUGAAAAAGAACCUGAAACCGUGUACGUACAAGCAGUGGGAGCACAGGUUUACCUGUGUGACUGCGUACCUUUUGUAUAAUGGGUCAGCGACUUAUAUUCUGUAGCAAGGUUAACCGAAUAGGGGAGCCGGAGGGAAACCGAGUCUUAAUUGGGCGUUAAGUUGCAGGGUAUAGACCCGAAACCCGGUGAUCUAGCCAUGGGCAGGUUGAAGGUUGGGUAACACUAACUGGAGGACCGAACCGACUAAUGUUGAAAAAUUAGCGGAUGACCUGUGGCUGGGGGUGAAAGGCCAAUCAAACCGGGAGAUAGCUGGUUCUCCCCGAAAGCUAUUUAGGUAGCGCCUCGUGAAUUCAUCUCCGGGGGUAGAGCACUGUUUCGGCUAGGGGGCCAUCCCGGCUUACCAACCCGAUGCAAACUGCGAAUACCGGAGAAUGUUAUCACGGGAGACACACGGCGGGUGCUAACGUCCGUCGUGAAGAGGGAAACAACCCAGACCGCCAGCUAAGGUCCCAAAGUCAUGGUUAAGUGGGAAACGAUGUGGGAAGGCCCAGACAGCCAGGAUGUUGGCUUAGAAGCAGCCAUCAUUUAAAGAAAGCGUAAUAGCUCACUGGUCGAGUCGGCCUGCGCGGAAGAUGUAACGGGGCUAAACCAUGCACCGAAGCUGCGGCAGCGACGCUUAUGCGUUGUUGGGUAGGGGAGCGUUCUGUAAGCCUGUGAAGGUGGCCUGUGAGGGUUGCUGGAGGUAUCAGAAGUGCGAAUGCUGACAUAAGUAACGAUAAAGCGGGUGAAAAGCCCGCUCGCCGGAAGACCAAGGGUUCCUGUCCAACGUUAAUCGGGGCAGGGUGAGUCGACCCCUAAGGCGAGGCCGAAAGGCGUAGUCGAUGGGAAACGGGUUAAUAUUCCCGUACUUGGUGUUACUGCGAAGGGGGGACGGAGAAGGCUAUGUUGGCCGGGCGACGGUUGUCCCGGUUUAAGCGUGUAGGUGUGUGUUCCAGGUAAAUCCGGUUCACUUUAACACUGAGGCGUGAUGACGAGGCACUACGGUGCUGAAGUAACAAAUGCCCUGCUUCCAGGAAAAGCCUCUAAGCAUCAGGUAACAUCAAAUCGUACCCCAAACCGACACAGGUGGUCAGGUAGAGAAUACCAAGGCGCUUGAGAGAACUCGGGUGAAGGAACUAGGCAAAAUGGUGCCGUAACUUCGGGAGAAGGCACGCUGACAC